rnacentral:lncRNA from 1 species
GCCUGCUAUAGAUGUGGGCAGGAGGGACAUUAUGCACGAGAAUGUCCUCAGGCGACUUUGGUUGCACCAUCCCAGCAGAUGACCUCAGGUAGUGUCGUCCAGUCAGCAGCUUCAGCUCGUCCACCAAGCAGUGGCAGAGGUAGAGGAAGAGGGGUAGCCUCUUCAUCAGGGAUGGGUUCCCGAGGUGCAGGUCCGUCAGCUCCAGCACGGAUUUUCACCAUGACGCAACAGGAGGCAGACACUUCGAACACAGUGGUGUCAGGUAAUCUCAUCAUUGGGUGUUUAGAGGUGUAUGCUUUGAUGGACCCCGGUGCUUCUCACUCUUUCAUUUCUUCUAG